rnacentral:rRNA from 1 species
CCUACGGGUGGCAGCAGUGAGGAAUAAUUGUCCAUGGGCUUACGCCUGAACGAGCCAAGUCGCGUGAGGGAAGAAUGCCCUAUGGGUUGUAAACCUCUUUUGUCAGGGAGCAACGCCGGCUAAGUGUAGCCGGACUGAGAGUACCUGAAGAAAAAGCAUCGGCGAACUCGGUGUCAGCAGGCGCGGUAAUUCGGAGGAUGCGACCGUUAUCCGUAUUUUUUGGGGUGUAAGGGUGAGUAGGCGGGAUGCCAAGUCAGCGGUAAAAUCGUGGGGCUCAACCUCGCUCCGCCGUUGAUACUGGCGGUCUUGAGUGGGCGAGAAGUAUGCGGAAUGCGUGGUGUAGCGGUGCAAUGCAUAGAUAUCACGCAGAACUCCGAUUGCGAAGGCAGCAUACCGGCGCCCAACUGACGCUGAAGCACGAAAGCGUGGGUAUCGAACAGGAUUAGAUACCCGAGUAGUC